rnacentral:misc_RNA from 1 species
GAACGCAUAUUGCGCUCUCUGGCAUUCCGGAGAGCAUGCUUGUUUGAGUAUCAGUAAACACCUCAAGUCGAGAGAUUUUUUUCUUGAGACUUGGAUUUGAGUGAUCCUAAUAACGAGUCCCUUUAAAAAAGGACAAGUAGGCAGGUUACUUGAAAUUCAGGUGCAGCUGAACUUUUCUUCUGAGCUAAAAGCAUUAUUUAUUUAGUCUUUAUUGACUAUUACUUUUUUUGCUGCAGCUAAUAUAAAGGAAGGGAAGCUUCAUUAUGGCUGACUGAUGCAGGAAUUUAUCAGUCUGGUAAAAAGGACUGUUAGACUCGAUCUCAAAUCAAGUAAGACUACCCGCUGAACUUAAG